UACGAAGGGGGCUAGCGUUGCUCGGAAUCACUGGGCGUAAAGCGCACGUAGGCGGCCUCUUAAGUCAGGGGUGAAAUCCUGGAGCUCAACUCCAGAACUGCCUUUGAUACUGAGUAGCUUGAGUCCGGGAGAGGUGAGUGGAACUGCGAGUGUAGAGGUGAAAUUCGUAGAUAUUCGCAAGAACACCAGUGGCGAAGGCGGCUCACUGGCCCGGUACUGACGCUGAGGUGCGAAAGCGUGGGGAGCAAACAGG
rnacentral:rRNA from 1 species